rnacentral:rRNA from 1 species
GACGAACGCUGGCGGCGUGCUUAACACAUGCAAGUCGAACGGAAAGGCCCUGCUUUUGUGGGGUGCUCGAGUGGCGAACGGGUGAGUAACACGUGAGUAACCUGCCCUUGACUUUGGGAUAACUUCAGGAAACUGGGGCUAAUACCGGAUAGGAGCUCCUGCUGCAUGGUGGGGGUUGGAAAGUUUCGGCGGUUGGGGAUGGACUCGCGGCUUAUCAGCUUGUUGGUGGGGUGGUGGCUUACCAAGGCUUUGACGGGUAGCCGGCCUGAGAGGGUGACCGGGCACAUUGGGACUGAGAUACGGCCCAGACUGCUACGGGAGGCAGCAGUGGGGAAUAUUACACAAUGGGCGGAAGCCUGAUGCAGCAACGCCGCGUGCGGGAUGACGGCCUUCGGGUUGUAAACCGCUUUCGCCUGUGACGAAGCGUGAGUGACGGUAAUGGGUAAAGAAGCACCGGCUAACUACGUG